CAAUACAGUGGUUUUACUGGUCCCCUUCCUGGCUUCUCCAAGGAUGGAGAACUCUACCAUUUCAUGGUCACUUUGCCCAAGACAGUUUCCAACCACCACAUCUCCCACCAGUCCUUCUCUGUUUGUGAAGAGAAGGUCUAGCAGGGCACCUGUGCCUGGUGUACACCAUUGCAGCUGAGCUAGUGGCAGCCCACCAUUAGAGGAGGUGUUCAUAUGGGCUGGGGGGAGCACUCUGCCCUUUCUGCUUGCCCUGCCUGUGCGAACUGCUGUGCCACUCCCUUCUGAUGCUCCACGCCCUGUUUGCCCGUCCUGUUCACCGCACUCCCUAAGGGCAGCUUAUGAACAGCCGGCCGGGGAGGGGGUGCUGCUGGCUCUGCCUAUGCCUGCUUCUCACCUCGUUCACCUCCCUCACGAGGGCUGCCGGGUCCUGGCGGUUCCCUCGAGUGGGCUCGGUGCCAGAAAAUUUAGCCCUGCCUGUCUGAUACCCCGCUCCGCUGCAGAACGCUUCUGCCCCGGAGCAGAUCACCUCGGCAAGUGGCUGAUGUCACACAGAUUAUUUUAUCUACUGGACAAAUAUCCAGGUAUCUUCAUAAAGAUAAUGUGGUGAUGUUUAAAUUUAUAAAUGAAACAUAGAUCACCUAAAAUGUGCUGUUAGGAAUGCAUGUUUGUAUUGAGGUUUCUUUACAUGUUCACAAGCAGUUUUUGAAAUGAGAUCAUUUUGUUGUUUUGGUAUGUUUCCUAUGCAUGGAUUUGAUAGUUCUUUAAUUUCUUGGUAAACAUGUACAAUCAUGAGGCUUAAAGUUAAUAGAACUAGACAUUGUAACGUUUGUGUUUCUUUCUCCUUUCCACCCACCAAUGCCGUGCCCCACUUUGAACAGCACUGAAGAUGAUAACCUAGGAAACCUUUCUCAGAUUCUACUGAGAUAUUUCUUUGACUGGGACCAUACAUGCAUACAUUCUAACCAAGGAAAAAAUAAUUCAUGUUGGCAGAUGGAAUCUUCUUUACCCCAGGAUUCAUGUAGAUGUGUGUCUGAACAGGAGGUAUGUCCAUGUAUAAGUAUGUGCAUGUAUUUAUGUAAAAAUGUGUGUGUGUUAUACAUGUAUAAUACUUUGAAUAUUCUUUUUGAAGAGGUAGAGAAAGAGAUGAGGAAGUAAACCUCAGAGCACUGGCUUUUUUUUUUGUUUCUGAUGAGU
rnacentral:lncRNA from 1 species